rnacentral:rRNA from 2 species
AGAGUUUGAUCAUGGCUCAGAUUGAACGCUGGCGGCAGGCCUAACACAUGCAAGUCGAACGGUAACAGGAAGCAGCUUGCUGCUUUGCUGACGAGUGGCGGACGGGUGAGUAAUGUCUGGGAAACUGCCUGAUGGAGGGGGAUAACUAUUGGAAACGGUAGCUAAUACCGCAUAACGUCGCAAGACCAAAGAGGGGGACCUUCGGGCCUCUUGCCAUCGGAUGUGCCCAGAUGGGAUUAGCUAGUAGGUGGGGUAAAGGCUCACCUAGGCGACGAUCCCUAGCUGGUCUGAGAGGAUGACCAGCCACACUGGAACUGAGACACGGUCCAGACUCCUACGGGAGGCAGCAGUGGGGAAUAUUGCACAAUGGGCGCAAGCCUGAUGCAGCCAUGCCGCGUGUAUGAAGAAGGCCUUCGGGUUGUAAAGUACUUUCAGCGGGGAGGAAGGGAGUAAAGUUAAUACCUUUGCUCAUUGACGUUACCCGCAGAAGAAGCACCGGCUAACUCCGUGCCAGCAGCCGCGGUAAUACGGAGGGUGCAAGCGUUAAUCGGAAUUACUGGGCGUAAAGCGCACGCAGGCGGUUUGUUAAGUCAGAUGUGAAAUCCCCGGGCUCAACCUGGGAACUGCAUCUGAUACUGGCAAGCUUGAGUCUCGUAGAGGGGGGUAGAAUUCCAGGUGUAGCGGUGAAAUGCGUAGAGAUCUGGAGGAAUACCGGUGGCGAAGGCGGCCCCCUGGACGAAGACUGACGCUCAGGUGCGAAAGCGUGGGGAGCAAACAGGAUUAGAUACCCUGGUAGUCCACGCCGUAAACGAUGUCGACUUGGAGGUUGUGCCCUUGAGGCGUGGCUUCCGGAGCUAACGCGUUAAGUCGACCGCCUGGGGAGUACGGCCGCAAGGUUAAAACUCAAAUGAAUUGACGGGGGCCCGCACAAGCGGUGGAGCAUGUGGUUUAAUUCGAUGCAACGCGAAGAACCUUACCUGGUCUUGACAUCCACGGAAGUUUUCAGAGAUGAGAAUGUGCCUUCGGGAACCGUGAGACAGGUGCUGCAUGGCUGUCGUCAGCUCGUGUUGUGAAAUGUUGGGUUAAGUCCCGCAACGAGCGCAACCCUUAUCCUUUGUUGCCAGCGGUCCGGCCGGGAACUCAAAGGAGACUGCCAGUGAUAAACUGGAGGAAGGUGGGGAUGACGUCAAGUCAUCAUGGCCCUUACGACCAGGGCUACACACGUGCUACAAUGGCGCAUACAAAGAGAAGCGAUCUCGCGAGAGCAAGCGGACCUCAUAAAGUGCGUCGUAGUCCGGAUUGGAGUCUGCAACUCGACUCCAUGAAGUCGGAAUCGCUAGUAAUCGUGGAUCAGAAUGCCACGGUGAAUACGUUCCCGGGCCUUGUACACACCGCCCGUCACACCAUGGGAGUGGGUUGCAAAAGAAGUAGGUAGCUUAACCUUCGGGAGGGCGCUUACCACUUUGUGAUUCAUGACUGGGGUGAAGUCGUAACAAGGUAACCGUAGGGGAACCUGCGGUUGGAUCACCU